GUUUAGAUAAUUUAUAAAAAUAUUUACUUGUGGAGUAAAAAAUGCAAUUUGGCUCUAAACA
rnacentral:tRNA from 1 species